rnacentral:rRNA from 1 species
GGACUACCGGGGUAUCUAAUCCCGUUUGCUCCCCUGGCUUUCGCGCCUCAGCGUCAGAAAAGGUCCAGCACGUCGCUUUCGCCACCGGCGUUCCUUCCGAUAUCUACGCAUUUCACCGCUCCACCGGAAGUUCCACAUGCCCCUACCUCCCUCAAGAUGGCCAGUAUCAAAAGCUGUUUUCCGGUUGAGCCGAAAGAUUUCACCCCUGACUUGGCCACCCGCCUACGCGCCCUUUAAGCCCAGUGAAUCCGAACAACGUUUGCACGGUUCGUCUUACCGCGGCGGCUGGCAC